ACAAAAAUAUAAUAUAAAAAUAAUUGCUAAUAAAACACAAAAUAUCUUUAAUAAAAAGUUAUAUGCUAAAAUUGAAGUUGAGUAAUUUAAUCCAAGAAAAACUGAACUGAAUUUGAAAAUCGACCAAAGCAAAGAAAGGAAAACAAUAGAUUUUCCAAAAAAUGGCCUCCAGUGAGAUAUCCAGCUCCAAUGAGCGGCACUAUUAUGCGAAAUUGGAAGCAAUCAAAGACAUUCGCGACAAAACUAUUGCGUUAGAAAAAUUAAAAGUUAAAAUUGUAAAAGAAGUGAAAAUUAGCGAUGAUGAAGAAAAAUGUCUGGACGAAUAUCGUAAGGAAAUGGAACAUUUGUUAGAAGAAAAGAUGUCACAUGUAGAGGAGUUACGUCAAAUACAUGCCGAUAUAAAUGAUAUGGAGAAUAUUAUUAAACAAACAAAAGAAAACCAAACUCGUAGUGUAGAUAUGGCUAAUAGAGUGUAUGAGGAGUAUUUGGCACUAAAAUAUCAAAUCGAUCAUAUGAGACGUGAUUAUUUAGGGCUCAGUCCACUGCGUGAUUUACAUGAAGAGGAGGGUAGUCCCAUAUCGAAAGAUCGAUUUCAAACAAAUUUUCUAAAGGUUGCUGCACAGUCGGCUGCAGCAGCAGCUGCUGCUGCUGCCGCUGCAUCACAACCAACAUCACUUGCACGUCCACAUCCUCGCCAUCCAUUGAUGCCCGAAGCUACUGUUACUGCUUUACCACCUAGUGGUGGUGGAACAGCUGGACCAACAGGUGGACACGCAUUUAUGCCACCAGCACCGCCAGGUUCGGCUGCUGCUGUAAAUGCUGUUGCACGCAUAGGUAAAGGAGAUUUUUCAGCACCAGCUCCUCCUCCCCCGCCUACCAAUCGUUUGCAGCAAGCACCAGCUAUUGGUAUAGGACACCAUCCAUCGUUUCGUUCAGAUUUUAAUGUUAAUUUACGUCAACAACCGCCGCCCAUGAAAUCAUGUUUGUCUUGCCAUCAACAAAUACAUCGCAAUGCACCAAUAUGUCCACUUUGUAAGGCUAAAUCGCGUUCGCGUAAUCCUAAAAAGCCAAAAAAGAAAAAUAACUAAUUUACACAUAAUUUGACAAUACGCAAUAAUGUUAUUCUUUGAAAACGUAACAUAUAAGCCAGUGUAUAAUUAAGAGAGAUUUAUUCUUAAUUAUUCUUAAAAAACAAUACGUAUCCCGCUGGCACGGAGCUCGUACAUCACUGCGACCUUUCAUUUAUUUUCAGUAUUAAGUAACAUAAAUGCAAUGUAAUGAGAGCACGAAAUCUAUAUACUUUUUAUAAUAUUAUUUAGAUUUAUGCAAACAUAUUAAGCAUGCAAUUGCAUUCAUA